rnacentral:rRNA from 1 species
AUUGAACGCUGGCGGCAGGCUUAACACAUGCAAGUCGAGCGGGGAAGGGUAGCUUGCUACCUAACCUAGCGGCGGACGGGUGAGUAAUGCUUAGGAAUCUGCCAUUUAGUGGGGGACAACAUUCCGAAAGGAAUGCUAAUACCGCAUACGUCCUACGGGAGAAAGCAGGGGAUCUUAGGACCUUGCGCUAAAUGAUGAGCCUAAGUCGGAUUAGCUAGUUGGUGGGGUAAAGGCCUACCAAGGCGACGAUCUGUAGCGGGUCUGAGAGGAUGAUCCGCCACACUGGGACUGAGACACGGCCCAGACUCCUACGGGAGGCAGCAGUGGGGAAUAUUGGACAAUGGGCGGAAGCCUGAUCCAGCCAUGCCGCGUGUGUGAAGAAGGCCUUAUGGUUGUAAAGCACUUUAAGCGAGGAGGAGGCUACUUAGAUUAAUACUCUAGGAUAGUGGACGUUACUCGCAGAAUAAGCACCGGCUAACUCUGUGCCAGCAGCCGCAGUAAGAC